rnacentral:lncRNA from 1 species
UUUCAUGACACUUCUACCAGCAUCUUCCAUUUAAACCAUAUUGGCCAUUUGUAGAGUAAAAUGUGUUAUAUUUUGAAACUAACCAUAGGCACUUACAAUUUUUCUUUUCAAAGUGAAACCAAACAGAGAAAAGAAAUACUUGCUACUGAACUCUGAACAUAUGAAAGAACGGCAGCUAUAUCAUUUUGAAGUUUUAACCAAUCAAAGUCAAUAAACAAGCCUGUGUAUUUUAUGGUCCCAAUGGAUAAGAACUGCUUUUAUCUCCACCUGAGAUUUUUGGUGGUUAUCCCUCGUGUGCAAUCAGUUUAACUGGCCCUCCGGAAUUUCUUUGUUAUUAGAAAAAGAAAAAGUGGAUUCAGUAUAACUGCAACAUAAAUAGAAUGAAAAGGAGAUCAUACCUUCUCACAGAGGUUGUAUCGCUGGUUAAAACUGAGGCUGGAAACAGCAAUUUAGUAACUUUACCCAACUCCAACUUGAACCAAGUUGGAAGUGAUAUAAGAACUUAUCAUAACAAAACUAAGUUUAUAUCUGACUUUGCACACAAUCGUUGUGGGGAGUCACCUGAAAACACAUAAAUAGAAGAGAGAAUCUAGCCAACCUUCAAUUUGCAUCAUCUAACGUGCUCGUUAUGUCAUAAAUCCCCUACUGAAGAUAGGUUGCCAAACUACGACCGAGAGUUUCACCUUUUGAAGCGCCAGUCGAGUAGGGCGACCGGACCAGGCCGAGUCAGAAAGGCUUUGAUGACUCAAGGUUCAUAUUAGGGAAAGGAGAGUGAGGGGAAGAGGGGGCAUCCCUCAUCCCGAUCAUCCGAUUCGCUCUUUCCUGAGGUAUCUAAUAACCUUGCUUCUACUCGCCGCUGGCGCACCUCUCCUAACUAUUGCCCAUUUAUUCUGGAAUAA